rnacentral:rRNA from 1 species
UCGGGAAUAUUGCGCAAUGGAGGAAACUCUGACGCAGUGACGCCGCGUGCAGGAAGAAGGUUUUCGGAUUGUAAACUGCUUUAGACAGGGAAGAAAAAGACAGUACCUGUAGAAUAAGCUCCGGCUAACUACGUGCCAGCAGCCGCGGUAAUACGUAGGGAGCGAGCGUUAUCCGGAUUUAUUGGGUGUAAAGGGUGCGUAGACGGGAAAUUAAGUUAGUUGUGAAAUCCCUCGGCUCAACCGAGGAACUGCAACUAAAACUGAUAUUCUUGAGUACUGGAGAGGAAAGUGGAAUUCCUAGUGUAGCGGUGAAAUGCGUAGAUAUUAGGAGGAACACCAGUGGCGAAGGCGACUUUCUGGACAGAAACUGACGUUGAGGCACGAAAGUGUGGGGAGCAAACAGGAUUAGAUACC